AUCCACUAGUAUUUAUUAUAUAAUAAUUUCCAAAGGAAUUUUGCUCGCUUUGUGUUUGACAAAAUGCUCGAUACAGUUCUGGGCCUCUUCUGAAUUUCUUUUGUUCGUAAAUUUCGUGGGAUCCAAAGUGAAUUGUCUGAUUAAAGUGAGAAUCUUUUUGGGUCUCUUUUGUUUUUGCAAAUGGGUGAUGAAAAGCUUCAAGCUCAAUUCCCUGAGAUUGUCAAGGAUUUAUAAUGGACAAUCUCUGCGAAAAUCUCGGGGCCACUCAGAUAGAGCGGGGAGAUCUUUACAACAAGGUCGAAGUUCUGUUCACAGAAGAAGAUCAGGAUUACAUUGGGAAGAUAAAUGAGUUGCAUGCUUACCUUGACACGGUAAAGAAGAUGGUGAAACCAGGUUGCUCAGAAGAAUUGUUGAAGGUGGCGUUGAGGUACAUGUCAUCACUAGUCAACACCCUCUCCUUUAUGUCUUUAACAGAAAAACUUCGUGCCUCGCUUUAAAGAAUUAUAGACCCUUUGUUAACAUAUGAUCAUGUACGAGGAGUAAUCACUAAUUGUAUGAUGAAUAAGUGUAUCUUAUACUUUGCCUUUUAAGUUUUUACCAGUUAAGUAGAUAGUGAACGAGGUGAAUAUAUGCUAUUGAUACAUAUCAUUCUGUGUC